CGUACGCACCCUACUCCUAUAAUGAACAUAAUGUAGCCAACAUAUACUACAAAGAUCUAAAUAGCUAGAAGAUCAUAUUUAUAUAUAGUCAAACUACAGCUCAUCCAUGGUGAGCAGUCGAGGCAUCGUAGAUCAAAGAACUACUCACACCACUGUAGCAUCAAGAAGAUCACUGAUGAGUGAGUAGAUAUUUAUGUGAUCUCUUAUUUUAUCAUGUUUAGUAUCAAUGUUCUAUAACA
rnacentral:lncRNA from 1 species